rnacentral:rRNA from 1 species
UACGUAGGGUGCGAGCGUUGUCCGGAAUUACUGGGCGUAAAGGGCUCGUAGGCGGCCAACUAAGUCAUACGUGAAAUCCCUCGGCUUAACCGGGGAACUGCGUCUGAUACUGGAUGGCUUGAGGUUGGGAGAGGGAUGCGGAAUUCCAGGUGUAGCGGUGAAAUGACGUAGAUAUCUGGAGGAACACCGGUGGCGAAGGCGGCAUCCUGGACCAAUUCUGACG